rnacentral:rRNA from 1 species
AUACGUAGGGGGCGAGCGUUGUCCGGAAUGAUUGGGCGUAAAGGGCGCGUAGGCGGCCCGGUAAGUCUGGAGUGAAAGUCCUGUUUUUAAGAUGGGAAUUGCUUUGGAUACUGUCGGGCUUGAGUGCAGGAGAGGUAAGUGGAAUUCCCAGUGUAGCGGUGAAAUGCGUAGAGAUUGGGAGGAACACCAGUGGCGAAGGCGGCUUUCUGGACUGAAACUGACGCUGAGACACGAAAGCGUGGGGAGCAAACAGGAUUAGAUACCCUGGUAGUCCACGCUGUAAACGAUGAAUACUAGGUGUCGGGGCCGUAGGCCUCGGUGCCGCAGUUAACGCAAUAAGUAUUCCACCUGGGGAGUACGGCCGCAAGGCUGAAACUCAAAUGAAUUGGCGGGG